rnacentral:lncRNA from 1 species
UAAUAUUAUAAUAAAAUAGGUUUGCCUCGAUUGAGGCAUUAAGUUUUGCUUCAACUGAGGCAAAAGCUAAAUCUCGGGUUUGUUAAAUAUGCCUAAAUGGCCCUUGUAAUGCAUCACAAUGAGGUCCCAAAUUCUCCCAAACGUCUCCUUAGUAAUAAACUAAUGUGUAUAGUAUGAUAGGUUUGAUUACUUGUGCAAGGUGGGCCACUGCACAUCACUAUGCAGUAGGGAUGGUAAUUUGAACUGGUCCGAAUUUUGGCCCGAUGGAUCCGACCUGAAUCUUUCGGGCUUUACCUGAAUUUUUGAGUUUUGGGUCAGCCAUUAAAGUUUGAUCAAAUUCAUAUUAGGAUUUGGGCCCUAGCCGACCCGAACCUAAAUUGCAAAAAAAAAUUAUGAAAAUUUAUGAAUUUUUAGUUUUAUGGAGGAUAUAUGUACAUGCAUGUAUAUAUAAAAGAGUAAUUUUGGGUGCAAUGCAUAUAAGAAAAAUUAUGGAUUUUUUUUUAUGUUGAGUUGUGGAAUUGUGUGUUUUUAUUUGUAUAAGACAUUAAUUUUUUUUUCUUUUUUAUGAAAAAUUAUGGACAUAUAAAUAUAUAAUGGUUCUAGAACAAAGCAAUUUUGUUUCGCAUCAUUGACAAAUAAAGCAAACUUAGACAAAGUAAAGCAAAAUUGGAUAAAACAAAGCAAAAUAUCUGAGGUGAAAGAGAAAGCAGUGUGUGGGAUUGAAAAAAGCCCGACUCAACCAGAAAUGCCUUCAAUUUCACUAAUCGGGUCGGGCUCGAAUUUUAAAAUAUAUCUCAA